GACGAACGCUGGCGGCGUGCUUAACACAUGCAAGUCGAACGGAAAGGCCCUGCGUUUGUGGGGUGCUCGAGUGGCGAACGGGUGAGUAACACGUGAGUAACCUGCCCUUGACUUUGGGAUAACUUCAGGAAACUGGGGCUAAUACCGGAUAGGAGCUCCUGCUGCAUGGUGGGGGUUGGAAAGUGUCGGCGGUUGGGGAUGGACUCGCGGCUUAUCAGCUGGUUGGUGGGGUAGUGGCUUACCAAGGCUUUGACGGGUAGCCGGCCUGAGAGGGUGACCGGCCACAUUGGGACUGCGAUACGGCCCAGACUCCUACGGGAGGCAGCAGUGGGGAAUAUUGCACAAUGGGCGGAAGCCUGAUGCAGCAACGCCGCGUGCGGGAUGACGGCCUUCGGGUUGUAAACCGCUUUCGCCUGUGACGAAGCGUGCGUGACGGUAAUGGGUAAAGAAGCACCGGCUAACUACGUG
rnacentral:rRNA from 1 species